rnacentral:rRNA from 1 species
AUUGAACGCUGGCGGCAGGCCUAACACAUGCAAGUCGAACGAGUGGCGGACGGGUGAGUCAUGUCUGGGAAACUGCCUGAUGGAGGGGGAUAACUCCUGGAAACGGUAGCUAAUACCGCAUACCCUCAGAUGUGCCCAGAUGGGAGUAGCUAGUGGGUGGGGUAACGGCUCACCUAGGCGACGAUCCCUAGCUGGUCUGAGAGGAUGACCAGCCACACUGGAACGUAGAAACGGUCCAGACUCCUACGGGAGGCAGAAGUGGGGAAUAUUGCAAAAUGGGGGCAAGCCUGAUGCAGCCAUGACGCGGGUAUGAAGAAGGCCUUCGGGUUGUAAAGUACUUUCAGCGGGGAGGCGUUACCCGCAGAAGAAGCACCGGCUAACUCCGUGCCAGCAGCCGCGGUAAUAC